ACACCGCACAAAGGAAGGAGGAGAGAGAAGAUCCUGAGGCCACUCCACCAUACACGAAGCUAGUCCACCCUCCCACUGGGUUGGGAAGGUAGGCUGACCCUGGCUUCACUCGAAAAUAUGCAUGUUGUUCUUUAUUAAGACGAGGGGAAAAUCAACCUUAUUUUUAGAAAUGAAUACUCUUUUGUGUCUGUGGCCUUGGAUCAUGUGUUUGCCAGGAGACUUUAUGGAAUAUUAAAAAAAACAAAAAAACAAAAAAACCCCCCCUCAGAUUCAGAUCUGUACCCUGGAGCCUCAUGCUGAAUCCUGACCUGACUGGAAGUGCAAUCUUCCCACGUGCAUCUACCCUUUCCCAUGGGGGACGAAGAGCCGGAGGAGGACUAAGUUACCUGCUGCAGCAACACCUGAAACUGGAAGGCUUCAGUCACCUCUGAGAACAACCCCGGGCACACAGCCAGUCACUCGGGCAGAGAGCUGUAGAGUAGUUUCCGGAGACAUGCCCAGUUCAUGAACACCUGCUUGACGGUGCCCCGAGCCUGGGUGGCAGAGACACACAACUGCUCAUAAAACAGCUGCUAGAAGCAACACGUGGUUCCAAGGUUGAGAGCACAGACUGCCCUUCCAGAGGACCAGUGUUGAGUUCUCAGUACCCACUGCUGUUGGCUCACAACUGCCUGUAACUCCACAUCCCCGGUACCAGGCAUACUCUUCUGGCUUCCAAAGGGUCCCCUACUGUCAUGGAGGCAAGAGAGAACCCGUGUGGAAUCCAUGUGGACUUCAGGGCCCUAAGAUCUAUGCAUGGUCACCAUUGAUGAGAACAGCCUUAGGGGGUUCAGACUGGAGUGUUUCUCGAUGGGUCUUGAGUAGGCCUCAUUCAUUCAUAGCACCCUGCCCACCACCUCAAGGAGGAGGAAGGUUAUCAUGACUCCCCAAGAUGAAAGAUAUCAACAGACAGAUCCCAGUAUUCACACUUGGCCUCAGUGACCACUGCAUAGGGACAGGAAAAAAAAAAAAAACAAAAAACAAAAAACUGUGUUGUUAAGCG
rnacentral:lncRNA from 1 species